ensembl:lncRNA
UUUAAAUUUCCAGUUUUGCCCUUCCUCAAGAAUAUAUGGUUUUACAGCUGUGGAUCUCAAGCCAAGUGGUGAAGAUGAGAUGAUAACAAUGGAUAAUGCAGAAGAAUAUGUGGAUUUGAUGUUUGACUUUUGCAUGCAUACGGGUAUUCAGAAACAGAUGGAAGCCUUCAGAGGUAAUUUUAAGGCUCUUUAGCUUAAUCCCUCUCCUUUUACUUUGAGACACCGAAAUUAAGAUACUGCUAUGCUCAAAAUUAGACUAUGCUAGUAAUCUCUAGAUUUGUCAUCUAGUUUUUUUGUCUUCCCAACAGUUAGGUCAGGUCCUACAGGGUACCCUGAACAGAUUGAACCAUUUUCAAGCUGUAGCAUACCCUAAGCUGCUCUUCCUCAGUAAUGAGGGACCUACUUUGGCUUUUGUUUUUUCAUUUGUAAGUGGAUAUAAGGUUGCAUACAGGAUCAGGAUGAAUUAAACCAUAUUAGAACCUAAGUCUUAAGGUAAAGAGUGAAGCAAAAUAUAUUGAACUGUUUAUCACUUACUAGUUUUUUAAAAUGAGAACUUGCUUUGGCUGGCUUGUAUGACAUAAAGAACUGGUUGGGAAAUUAUUGGAAUUUGGCUACAGACCAUAGUGUCUGAAUAUUCUCUCUACAUAUACAUCUGUGAUACUAAGCAAAGAUUUCUGUAUUUAAAACCCUAGCAAGUUUUUAUUUCAAGCUACUUUAAUUUUAUUGGCUUUUUCAAAUAUUUAUAUUUGUCUUCUGUCCAUUUAGUUGAGUAUUUUGAUUUGAAAUUUGUGGUUUGAAAUUGUAACUUGGAAACACAAACUCAGUUGUGUUUUGUUUUUGUUUUUUUUGCUGUGUGUAAAAUGUAGAUGGGUUAAUAAAGUUUUUCCAAUGGAGAAAUUAAGUUCCUUCAGCCAUGAAGAGGUCCAAAUGAUUCUUUGUGGAAAUCAGUCACCAUCCUGGGCAGCAGAGGAUAUAUUAAUUAUACUGAACCUAAGUUGGGUUAUACACGUGACAGUCCUGGCUUCCUUAGGUUCGUGCGGGUUUUAUGUGGUAUGUCUUCAGACGAGAGGAAAGCAUUUCUGCAGUUUACCACUGGUUGUUCAACUCUGCCUCCAGGGGGACUGGCUAACUUGCAUCCAGGCUCACAGUUGUACGCAAGGUUGAUGCUACUGAUGCAAGCUACCCAUCAGUGAACACAUGUGUGCAUUAUCUCAAGUUGCCAGAAUACUCUUCGGAGGAGAUCAUGAGAGAGAGCGUCUGCUAGCUGCUACAAUGGAGAAAGGCUUCAUCUCAAUUGAGCUUUGAAGUGCAAUGGGAGACAUCAGAGACUUAAAAUUCUAGUGAAGCCUCUUGUGUUUGUUUGCAGAGAAGUAUAAUGAUCCUCCAUGCUAAUGACACUUGCCUUUUUUUCCACCAUUAAGGCUUUAAGAACACGUGGAGUAAGUUUGUUAGCUGCUAAUGACAAACAAAUCCUUUAAACUAUCCAGCCAGCAAGUACAUAGCACAGAACACUGUGUGCUACAAGGGCUCAUGUGACUGGAAUGAGGUGGUUCUACUUGACUGUUCCAAAGAGCAGCUUCUCAGAUCUUCAGUGUUCACUGGUAAAUUUCUAACAGUGUAUUUGUGUAAAGUUUGUCAUUUCAUACUUCAUACACUACAGUUGCCAUCACUGAUCCCUGUUUUGCUGGCUUUAAGCUACUUGUCAGAAAUCCUGCUUCCUUAAAACAUAGAGAGUUAAUGAGCAUCUCAAGCUUUUUCUUUCCUCUUUAAUGAUGCCUGCACUAUCAGAGUGUAUCUAGUGUUCUCUCUUUUGUUUGGCAUAUAAUCAUGCACAACCUUUUUAUUUCUUUGAGGUGGGAGUAUAUUUUUAUUUCCUAAAUGCCAUACUAUAAAGAUCAAAUUCUUAAGUGUGUUGUGCAGUUCAAAAAUAAAAGAUAUAUUAAGGGGGGGAGGAAAAAACA